rnacentral:rRNA from 1 species
GAUGAACGCUGGCGGCGUGCUUAACACUUGCAAGUCGAACGGAAAGGCCCAAGCUUGCUUGGGUACUCGAGUGGCGAACGGGUGAGUAACACGUGGGUGAUCUGCCCUGCACUUCGGGAUAAGCCUGGGAAACUGGGUCUAAUACCGGAUAGGACCACUUCUUGGAUGUUGUGGUGGAAAGUUUUUUCGGUGUGGGAUGAGCUCGCGGCCUAUCAGCUUGUUGGUGGGGUAAUGGCCUACCAAGGCGUCGACGGGUAGCCGGCCUGAGAGGGUGUACGGCCACAUUGGGACUGAGAUACGGCUCAGACUCCUACGGGAGGCAGCAGUGUGGAAUAUUGCACAAUGGGCGCAAGCCUGAUGCAGCGACGCCGCGUGGGGGAUGACGGCCUUCGGGUUGUAAACUCCUUUCGCUAGGGACGAAGCGUUUUGUGACGGUACCUGGAGAAGAAGCACCGGCUAACUACGUGCCAGCCGCCGCAGUAA